rnacentral:rRNA from 1 species
UAGCGUAGGGUGCGAGCGUUGUCCGGAAUUAUUGGGCGUAAAGAGCUUGUAGGUGGUUUGUCGCGUUCUGCUGUGAAAAUUCCGAAGGCUCAACCUCGGACUUGCAGUGGGUACGGGCAGACUAGAGUGUGGUAGGGGAGACUGGAAUUCCUGGUGUAGCGGUGGAAUGCGCAGAUAUCAGGAGGAACACCGAUGGCGAAGGCAGGUCUCUGGGC